CGUACCGAGGACAAGCCAAUAAAUCACACCUUGAAUGUAACUUGUUUCAAAUAUACUAAAAAUAACUGCCUUCAACGUUCUAGUACUCUAAUUGCAGAAUUGGUUUAUAGAAACAAUGGUUUUUUUUAACCUAGAGAACAAUUGGGUUUAGUACUUUCUCAAUGAAAGUUACUUGUCAAAUAGAAGACUUACGGAUGUGAUUCGCCACAAUCUACUCCAAGCGCCGUGCGUUGUUCCGCCUGUCUAGCCGGCGCUCCCCUUGCUUCUGCUACCCUUCUUCCAGCGUCGACGCCGUCUGCAUCUGUCCCCUCCCCUCCCUUCACGUCUCGCCACGCCGUGAAGUAUUGAACUGAACCGGAGCCCCGGACGACGUUGGCAUACCGGAACAAGCUGAUGCGAAUUUCUGUCUGAUUUUCCGAGGUUUUCCGAUACUAAGAAUCAUCCUAGGAUUCCUCAGACGAGAACAACCUUCUCCCAGACCACAACAUCCUGUACGAGUGGAGGAUACAAUGACGAGUAGGAUGAUGGUCGUUGAUGCAGAACGCACAGAAAGUUUGGACUUGGCAGCAGCAGGACUUCGUCGGCUCUUUUAAGUCCUCCGAGAAGGAGCGACUCAGCUUAAUUAAGGUGGAUAGCUGAGACAGCUGUUCCGUCAGCAACACGGGCCUUCGAAUAUGCAGACUAUCCACUUUAGUUGCAGGUUGUCGAAUGUAGAUGGCGGGGGACGCUGCAGACCUCUAAUUUCGAACUCGGGAGUUUUGCAUUCGAAUUCAGUUUGGGCAAUUACGAAUUUCUUCUGUUUAUCUUUCUAAAUUUAAGCUGCCUAAAAGAAGUUGUUCUUUAGGCUCUAGCGUGAGGUAGGAAUACAUCGCGGGUCCAUAGGAAGAAUUGUAAUGGAAAAUCCAUUAUGUGUAAACUAGAGAGCAUCCUUCCAGUCUUAUUUGAAAUCUGGAAGGAUUAAGUCAAAAGGAGUAAUUGGAAUAUUUAGUACAAAUUAUUUAGCAA